GACGAACCGUGCGAACGUUGUUCGGAAUCACUGGGCUUAAAGGGCGCGUAGGCGGGCGGUCAAGUCAGAGGUGAAAUCCCACGGCUCAACCGUGGAAGUGCCCCUGAUACUGAUCGCCUCGAGGGAGGUAGGGGCGUGCGGAACUUCCGGUGGAGCGGUGAAAUGCGUAGAUAUCGGAAGGAACACCGAUGGCGAAAGCAGCGCGCUGGACCUUUACUGACGCUGAGGCGCGAAAGCCAGAGGAGCAAACGGG
rnacentral:rRNA from 1 species